rnacentral:rRNA from 1 species
CACGAAGUUAGCCGGGGCUUCUUCUCCGGUUACCGUCAUUAUCUUCACCGGUGAAAGAGCUUUACAACCCUAGGGCCUUCAUCACUCACGCGGCAUGGCUGGAUCAGGCUUGCGCCCAUUGUCCAAUAUUCCCCCACUGCUGCCUCCCGUAGGAGUCUGGGCCGUGUCUCAGUCCCAGUGUGGCUGAUCAUCCUCUCAGACCAGCUAUGGAUCGUCGCCUUGGUGGGCCUUUACCCCACCAACUAGCUAAUCCAACGCGGGCUCAUCCUUUGCCGAUAAAUCUUUCCCCCGAAGGGCACAUACGGUAUUAGCACAAGUUUCCCUGAGUUAUUCCGUAGCAAAAGGUAGAUUCCCACGCGUUACUCACCCGUCUGCCGCUCCCCUUGCGGGGCGCUCGACUUGCAUGUGUUAAGCCUGCCGCCAGCGUUCGUUCUGAGCCAGGAUCAACUC